rnacentral:rRNA from 1 species
UACAGAGGUGGCAGGCGUUGUUCGGAAUUACUGGGCGUAAAGGGCGCGUAGGCGGCCUACUAAGUCAGACGUGAAAUCCCCCGGCUUAACCUGGGAACUGCGUCUGAUACUGGAAGGCUUGAGGAUGGGAGAGGGAUGUAGAAUUCCAGGUGUAGCGGUGAAAUGCGUAGAGAUGGGGGAGAACACUCGUGGCGAAGGCGGCCAGCUAGACCAGUUCUGACACUGAGGCGCGACAGCGUGGGGAGCAAACAGG